GGGGCGUGUAUUGUGGGGGGUGCUGCAGGGGUGCGUGUCUGCGGGUGCGUAGUGCAGGAUGCAUGUCUCAGGGCUGCAUGUUUCAGGGGGUGUAGUGAAGUGGUGUGAUGCAGGGUGUGUGUCUGGGGGUGCGUAGUGAAGGGGUGCGUGUUUUGGGGUGCGAUGCAGGAUGCGUGUUUCGGGGUGUGAUGCAGGGUGAGUGUCUGGGGGUGCGUAGUGCAGGGGUGCAAUGCAGAGUGUGUGUCUGGGGGUGCGAUGCAGGAUGCGUGUUUCGGGGUGCGAUGCAGGAUGCAUGUUUCGGGGUGUGAUGCAGGGUGUGUGUCUGGGGGUGCGUAGUGCAGGGGUGCGAUGCAGGGUGUGUGUCUGGCGGUGUGAAGCAGGAGGCGUGUUUUGGGGUGCGACGCAGGAUGCGUGUUUUGGGGUGUGAUGCAGGGUGAGUGUCUAGGGGUGCGUAGUGCAGGGGUGUGAUGUAGGGUGUGUGUCUGGGGUUGCGAAGCAGGAGGCGUGUUUUGGGGUGCGACGCAGGAUGCGUGUUUCGGGGUGUGAUGCAGGGUGAGUGUCUAGGGGUGCGUAGUGCAGGGGUGCGAUGCAGGGUGUGUGUCUGGGGGUGUGACGCAGGAUGCGUGUUUUGGGGUGUGAUGCAGGGUGUGUUGCCUGGGGUGCAAUGCAGAGUGUGUGUCUGGGGGUGCGAUGCAGGAUGCAUGUUUCGGGGUGCGAUGCAGGGUGUGUGUUUUGGGGUGCGAUGCAGGGUGAGUGUCUGGGGGUGCGUAGUGCCAGGGGUGCAAAGCAGAGUGUGUGUCUGGGGGUGCGACGCAGGAUGCGUGUUUCGGGGUGUGAUGGAGGGUGAGUGUCUGGGGGUGCACAUGCCAGGGGUGCGAAGCAGAGUGUGUGUCUGGGGGUGCGAUGCAGGAUGCGUGUUUCAGGGUGCGAUGCAGGGUGUGUGAUUUGGGGAGUGAUGCAGGAUGAGUGUUUCGGGGUACAAUGCAGAGUGUGUGUCUGGGGGUGCGAUGCAGGAUGCGUUGUUCGGGGUGCGAUGCAGGGUGUGUGUUUCGGGGUGCGAUGCAGGGUGAGUGUCUGGGGGUGCGUAGUGCCAGGGGUGCGAAGCA